rnacentral:lncRNA from 1 species
UAUCCCUUUCCAAUUUAAUUUUAUAUCAUUUUCCCCUUAUUUAUUUUUGUUAAACCACAUUGGCUUUCUUUCUGUUUUCUUUAGAAGUCAACUCUCCUUCCCGCCUGAGGGCCUCUGCUCUUUCUAUUGCUUGGAAUCUUCUCACGAUGGACUCAGCCUUUCUUUCACUCUCCACUCCAGUGUUGCCUUAGAGAGGUUGUCUCUGACCUGCCAAUUGGAGCCAUCAAGAUGAGCAGAGAUGGAGGCUCAGCAAUCAUACGCAAACUUAUUUUAAACACGUGAGACUGUGAUUCAUAAAGCUUCAGUGACUUUGAGAGAUGAGUCCCACCUUUGUCCAUACCACCCUGAAUGCACCCAGUCUCGUCAGAAGAUGAGUCCUCAGCAAGAUUGCAUGGACAACAAAACUCCAAGAGGAGCCUUGUCUUUCUGGCCAAAGGCCCAGGAAUAGGGGCCACCUUGGGCAAAAGAAUAUAAGAGGGGUCUCCUUCCCUUCCUCUCUCUCAUUUUUGCUUUCUUGGUUGUGGCCUGAAGGCAGUUCCAGUAAUGAAGUUGUAGCAACCAGGGCAAAUAAAACUCGAUCUAUCUGGCUAGAUGAGCAGAAAAUGGGGAUGCUGCAAGUAGAAGAGUACAUAAGAAAUUCUGAAAGGGGGUGUGGAAAAGGCAAUCUCCUCUGUCGGUGCAUUGAUUAGCAAAAGUGCCGGAUUUACCCUUGGGCUGUGCAUGAUAGUUCCCCCCAAAACAGUAAAAAUCAUAAAAA